rnacentral:rRNA from 1 species
AGACUAAGCCAUGCAUGUCUAAGUAUAAACGUUCGUAUACUGUGAAACUGCGAAUGGCUCAYUAAAUCAGUUAUAGUUUAUUUGAUGGUUCCUUACUACUUGGACAACCGUGGUAAUUCUAGAGCUAAUACAUGCAGAAAGUCCCGACUUUUGGAAGGGAUGUAUUUAUUAGAUCCAAAACCAGCGCGAGUGUGGCUCGGUUGCUUGGUGAUUCAUGAUAACUGCUCGAAUCGCAUGGCCUUGUGUCGGCGAUGAUCCAUUCAAAUUUCUGCCCUAUCAACUUUCGAUGGCAAGGUAGUGGCUUGCCAUGGUGACAACGGGUGACGGAGAAUUAGGGUUCGAUUCCGGAGAGGGAGCCUGAGAAACAGCUACCACAUCCAAGGAAGGCAGCAGGCGCGCAAAUUACCCAAUCCCGACUCGGGGAGGUAGUGACAAUAAAUAACAAUGCUGGGCUAUCCAUAGUCUGGCAAUUGGAAUGAGUACAAUCUAAACCCCUUAACGAGGAACAAUUGGAGGGCAAGUCUGGUGCCAGCAGCCGCGGUAAUUCCAGCUCCAAUAGCGUAUAUUAAAGUUGUUGCAGUUAAAAAGCUCGUAGUUGGAUUUCAGGGAAGCCCGGCUGGUCCGUCGCGAGGCGAGUACUGGUCGACCGCCCUUCCUCUCGAAAGCCCCGACUGCUCUUCAUUGUAGUGGUCGGGGAGUUCGGGACGUUUACUUUGAAAAAAUUAGAGUGUUCAAGGCAGGCAAUCGCCUGAAUACAUUAGCAUGGAAUAAUGGAAGAGGACCUCGGUCCUAUUUUGUUGGUUUCUAGGGCCGAAGUAAUGAUUGAGAGGGACAGUUGGGGGCAUUCGUAUUUAAUUGUCAGAGGUGAAAUUCUCGGAUUUAUGAAAGACGAACAACUGCGAAAGCAUUUGCCAAGGAUGUUUUCAUUAAUCAAGAACGAAAGUUAGGGGUUCGA